rnacentral:rRNA from 1 species
UACGUAGGUGGCAAGCGUUGUCCGGAUUUAUUGGGUUUAAAGGGUGCGUAGGCGGCCCUGUAAGUCAGUGCUGAAAUAUCCCAGCUUAACUGGGAGGGUGGCAUUGAUACUGCGGGGCUGGAGUACAGAUGAGGUAGGCGGAAUUGACGGUGUAGCGGUGAAAUGCUUAGAUAUCGUCAAGAACACCUAUAGCGAAGGCAGCUUACUAGGCUGUAACUGACGCUGAGGCACGAAAGUGUGGGGAUCAAACAGG